UACGUAGGGGGCAAGCGUUGUCCGGAUUUAUUGGGCGUAAAGAGCGUGUAGGCGGCCUGACAGGUCUGCUGUGAAAACUCGAGGCUCAACCUCGAGAUGUCGGCGGAAACCGUCUGGCUAGAGUCCGGAAGAGGAGAGUGGAAUUCCUGGUGUAGCGGUGAAAUGCGCAGAUAUCAGGAAGAACACCUAUGGCGAAGGCAGCUCUCUGGGACGGUACUGACGCUGAGGCGCGAAAGCGUGGGGAGCGAACAGG
rnacentral:rRNA from 1 species